GACGAACGCUGGCGGCGUGCUUAACACAUGCAAGUCGAACGCUGAAGCCUGGCUUUUGUUGGGUGGAUGAGUGGCGAACGGGUGAGUAACACGUGAGUAACCUGCCCUCUUCUUUGGGAUAACGCCCGGAAACGGGUGCUAAUACUGGAUAUUCACUUGCCUUCGCAUGGGGGUGGGUGGAAAGGGUUUUUUCUGGUGGGGGAUGGGCUCGCGGCCUAUCAGCUUGUUGGUGGGGUGAUGGCUUACCAAGGCUUUGACGGGUAGCCGGCCUGAGAGGGUGACCGGUCACAUUGGGACUGAGAUACGGCCCAGACUCCUACGGGAGGCAGCAGUGGGGAAUAUUGCACAAUGGGCGCAAGCCUGAUGCAGCGACGCCGCGUGAGGGAUGGAGGCCUUCGGGUUGUGAACCUCUUUCGCUCAUGGUCAAGCCGCAACUCAUGGUUGUGGUGAGGGUAGUGGGUAAAGAAGCGCCGGCUAACUACGUGCCAGCAGCCGCGGUAAUACGUAGGGCGCGAGCGUUGUCCGGAAUUAUUGGGCGUAAAGGGCUUGUAGGCGGUUGGUCACGUCUGCCGUGAAAUCCUCUGGCUUAACUGGGGGCGUGCGGUGGGUACGGGCUGGCUUGAGUGCGGUAGGGGAGACUGGAACUCCUGGUGUAGCGGUGGAAUGCGCAGAUAUCAGGAAGAACACCGGUGGCGAAGGCGGGUCUCUGGGCCGUUACUGACGCUGAGGAGCGAAAGCGUGGGGAGCGAACAGG
rnacentral:rRNA from 1 species